rnacentral:lncRNA from 1 species
UCAGGCGCUUGAGUUCCAUAUCGGUAACGCUUUCCAUAGAUGAGAGUUUGUCUUCACUUCUCACCAUUAAAUCGGUCUUUCAGUCACUCGCACUCCGAUUUAUUCGAUUCAAUUGCCUCCUUCUCAAAAGUCCAAAUGAAAACCCAAAAAAGAAAUCUAUAAAAGUCGUUUGAGAUAUCAAAAAUUCAAAAUCACGCUGCUUAAACAAAAUCAUCUAUUUCUUACGACGCCGCCUGCAUGAUGGUGGCUUACGAAACUUUUUUUCCUGAUGCUACCACCGGCCGUUGUUCUGAUACCGUCGUCGCGCACUCCGUCUUAUGCGAUUCUGGGAAACCCGAACGGGGGGAGAGCUGAUGGAAUGGACAUCUCCUUCUUGAUGAUAAGGUUUGUCCUGAAAUUAUCACCUUUAACUCUAUAUAAUUGUGAGAUCCAGUAGAUAAAAGAUUGAUUGUCAUGUAUGGAGCUGAAUAUCAGUAUAAUCUGUAGAUAAAUGAUCACCUUUUAUGAUGAACGAUUCAGGUUCCGCAAUCACCAACACCAUCUUCCAGGUAAUCCUCUUAUUGGAUGUUUUUUUAUAAAGAUGUUCAUCUUAUCCCAGACAUCAUUGAUGAGCUUACUGCUAUAAAGAGUAUUGUAAGUGACCCUCGAGGAGACAAAAACCGUGUCAUGGCAACCAUCAC